GACGAACGCUGGCGGCGUGCUUAACACAUGCAAGUCGAACGGUAAGGCCCUGCUGUGGAGGGGUGCGCGAGAGGCGAACGUGUGAGUAACGCGUUAGUCCCCUGCCCUUGGCAUUAGGAUAACUUAAGGAAACUAGUGCUAAUACUGGCUAGCUGCCCCUGCUGCGGGGUGGGGGUGGGUUAUUUUUGGCGGUUGGGGAUGGACUCGCGGCUUAUCAGCUUGUUGGUGGGGUAUUGGCAUACCAAGGCUUUGACGGGUAGCCGGCCUGAGAGGGUGACCGGCCACACUGGGACUGAGAUACGGCCCAGACUCCUACGGGAGGCAGCAGUGGGGAAUAUUGCACAAUGGGCGGAAGCCUGAUGCAGCAACGCCGCGUGCGGGAUGACGGCCUUCGGGUUGUAAACCGCUUUCGCCUGUGACGAAGCGUGAGUGACGGUAACGGGUAAAGAAGCACCGGCUAACUACGUG
rnacentral:rRNA from 1 species